CAUAGAGCUGUGCCGGUCAGUUUCCCAGAAGAGGACAAAGCGAGAUGUCCCAGCGGGUCUUUCCGGCUCAAGGUUAGAAACCUCCAGCUGCCAAAGGCACAAAGAGAUGGGAACCAAAGUGAGGAGAUUGCGGGGUGAGGGGUAGGUGUAAACAGAAAGAACUCCCGGCGGCUAUUGAUGACGCCACAGCGGUGCGUGUUGCUGUUUCCGGUCUGUUGGCCGCUGGAUUUGUUUUGUUUUGUUUUGGGUUAGGGAUCCGCGAGAAACGAGGAUGGACCGUAAAGGAUGAAGCAAACGUACAGCAUUCAGCUCUGCUACCACAAAUAUGAUUGCCUUAAAGAAGACUGAAAUUGUGUCCUGUGCAGGCCUGACUGUUUUCACUUCAUACAAGUUUCUUCUCUGCUGUUGCAAAUGGAUGACGAGUUUCCUUCCUUUGGUGUGGCAGGCUACCUGAUCUUCACCUAUCCAGAGGAGUUUUGAUUUGAUGGAGCCCCUUAGAUUGGUGUAUGCACUUAUUCCUUUUACGAUCUCAAGCAUGGUAACAAGGAUAGUGACCUUAAGGACUGCCAUCCAGCAUUUGCCUUACUGCCUGACCGGGCCACUCUGGUGCUCUUCCCCUUCGCCGCCCUCAGCUGUUAACAGCUAGCCAUCCUUCUUGGCCUAACAUCUUUCACUUGGAUGCAUUUGUCCAUCACUCUCUUGCUGCUUUGCGUUAUCAGCUCAGCCUGCACUAUUAAAUAUAGGUAGAUACCCAGUGCUGUCAACAUGGAGUUUCCACAAUGUGUAAGGUUUUCAAGUGUGACUAAGGAAUGGAAGUAUUGGGCUAAGGAAUGAAUACUUCUGUUCCUGUCCAAGGCUGCUGUGGGAGCCAUGCGGUGCUGUGCCUGCUGUGUCAUUACCAGGCAUAGAAGAAGCAAGUGGAAAUGAAUCACAAAGACUUGCUCCAAGGCUACAGAAAGUCCAUGAAUCCAGGCACUGGGUAUAAUUGAUUGGAUUCCCUGAAAAAAGACCCAGAGAAGCCGCUGCAUGGAGCUGGAAAGAUGAAGCCCAAGUUACAGCAGAGGACCAGGAUAUUGGAGAGUCUAAAACUGCUUAUCCACUGAGGAAAGCUGCAAGAACACAGUGGAACAAGCCCAAGACAAAAGUGACAUGUGCUGUAGGUGGCAGAACUGGAGUGCUGGUACUACCCAAAUUUAGAGCUCAGAUGAUCCCGUCAUGAGUGCUGUAUGCUAGCUAUGGAGCUAUAGGAUUAGGUGUUGGUUGUAACUGGGGUUUUGUUUUGCUUUUUAAUCCAGCCUUCCUUGUUAUUCUCCCAUUCGCUCCUAUCUGGGGUGGGAACGUUUCUUUGUUUUUGUGUAUUAGAAGUGUUCAACUUGUGUCUUCAUGUCAUAGGUGCUCAAAUGAAGAGAUGGUCUGCAGUCUCAGAAGACACUGAUUUUUUUUUCAGAGCUGAGGACCGAACCCAGAGACUGAUUUUUUGAGCAGAGCUGAAACUGUUAAAGAGAGAGACCAAAUGAGACUUUAUGAACCAGGGUAGAAUAACUAAGGUGAUGUUUGAUGUCAGGCUUGCAGGAAGUAGAAUUAUAAUGAUUAAUUUUCAUUGCCAAUUUAAUAGGAUUUAGAAUCACCUAGGAGACAGCUCUGUGCUUGUAUGUAAGUGCAGAUCUAGACAGAUUUACCAUAGAAGGGAAAUUUCCCCUUAAAUGUUGUGACAUCCUAUGAACUGGGGUCCCAGACAGAAUAAAAAGGGGAACUGAGAGAAGUACCAGCAUUCAUCUCUUUAUGCUUCCUUCUGCCAUCUACCAAGUGUCAGGUGAGCGCAUUUCUGUUGGUCUGUUUAUGAGUUCUCUGUUCAUUUCUGGUUUAUGUCUUACGCUACCCCAGCAGCAAAUCUCAAUAGCCUUUGUAUAAUAAACAUUAAUAUUUGGUAGAGUGAUUAUCUCUG
ensembl:lncRNA LOC108349241 uncharacterized LOC108349241